AGGAUGGUGAGGAACAUCUUUCUUCUGAGGAGACUGAGCUGCCUUUCAUCAGCUGCCACCUUGCCGACUGUGGCGUUUUAGACGUCGCCUUGAAGCUGCCUGCUCUCCGCGAGGUCUUCUCCACCCUGUUAACCAGCAUCCACCUGCAGAACCUGCUGUUUGUAAGUGGAAAGGAGCUUGUGAUGCACAUGGCAGCUCUCAACAAGC